ensembl:snRNA U6 U6 spliceosomal RNA
UUGCUUCUGCAGCAUAUAUACUAAAAUUGGAACAAUACAGGGAAGAUUAGCGUGUCCCCUGCAUAAGGAUGAUAUAAAUUUGUGAAGCAUUCCAUAUUUUC